rnacentral:rRNA from 1 species
GACGAACGCUGGCGGCGUGCUUAACACAUGCAAGUCGAACGGAAAGGCCCUGCUUUUGUGGGGUGCUCGAGUGGCGAACGGGUGAGUAACACGUGAGUAACCUGCCCUUGACUUUGGGAUAACUUCAGGAAACUGGGGCUAAUGCCGGAUAGGAGCUCCUGCUGCAUGGUGGGGGUUGGAAAGUUUCGGCGGUUGGGGAUGGACUCGCGGCUUAUCAGCUUGUUGGUGGGGUAGUGGCUUACCAAGGCUUUGACGGGUAGCCGGCCUGAGAGGGUGACCGGCCACAUUGGGACUGCGAUACGGCCCAGACUCCUACGGGAGGCAGCAGUGGGGAAUAUUGCACAAUGGGCGGAAGCCUGAUGCAGCAACGCCGCGUGCGGGAUGACGGCCUUCGGGUUGUAAACCGCUUUCGCCUGUGACGAAGCGUGAGUGACGGUAAUGGGUAAAGAAGCACCGGCUAACUACGUG